rnacentral:rRNA from 1 species
GAUGAACGCUAGCGGCAGGCUUAACACAUGCAAGUCGAGGGGUAUAGUUCUUCGGAGCUAGAGACCGGCGCACGGGUGCGUAACGCGUAUGCAAUCUACCUUUUGCAGAGGGAUAGCCCAGAGAAAUUUGGAUUAAUACUUCAUGGUAUGUGAGAAUGGCAUCAUUUUCACAUUAAAGUCACAACGGCAAAAGAUGAGCAUGCGUCCCAUUAGCUAGUUUGUAAGGUAACGGCUUACCAAGGCAACGAUGGGUAGGGGUCCUGAGAGGGAGAUCCCCCACACUGGUACUGAGACACGGACCAGACUCCUACGGGAGGCAGCAGUGAGGAAUAUUGGACAAUGGGCGCAAGCCUGAUCCAGCCAUGCCGCGUGCAGGAUGACGGUCCUAUGGAUUGUAAACUGCUUUUGUACAGGAAGAAACACUGGUUCGUGAACCAGCUUGACGGUACUGUAAGAAUAAGGAUCGGCUAACUCCGUGCCAGCCGCCGCAGUAAUAC